UACGUAGGGACCAAGCGUUGUUCGGAUUUACUGGGCGUAAAGGGCGCGUAGGCGGCGCGGUAAGUCACUUGUGAAAUCUCUGAGCUUAACUCAGAACGGCCAAGUGAUACUGCAGUGCUAGAGUGUGGAAGGGGCAAUCGGAAUUCUUGGUGUAGCGGUGAAAUGCGUAGAGAUCAGGAGGAACACCCAUGGCGAAGGCAGAUCUGGUCGACAUCUGACGCUGAGACGCGAAAGCGUGGGGAGCGAACGGG
rnacentral:rRNA from 1 species